CUGACAGACGCCUUGCCCCUUUUGGAACAGAAACAGCAGAACAGACUUAUGAGUUGAUGCGGUGUCUGGAGGACUUGACGUCAAGAAGACCUGUGCAUGGAGAAUCUGAUACCGAGCAGCUCCAGGAUGAUGACAUAGAGACCACCAAGGUGGAAAUGCUGAGACUUUCUCUGGCACGAAAUCUUGCUCGGGCAAUUAUAAGAGAAGGCUCACUGGAAGGUUCCUGAGAACUGCUUCAAUGUGGUAUCUUUGUAUGGCAAUGUAUAUAGAUUUUUUUAAAAGAAUAAAUGUUGUUUUGCA
rnacentral:lncRNA from 1 species